AGUGGACGCUGGCGGCGUGCUUAACACAUGCAAGUCGAACGAGAACGGAUUAUAGCUUGCUAUAAUUGUCAGCUAAGUGGCGCACGGGUGAGUAAUGUAUAGGUAAUAUGCCUCUUACUAAGGGAUAACAAUUGGAAACGAUUGCUAAUACCUUAUACUCCUUAUUAACAUAAGUUAAUAAGGGAAAGAUUUAUUGGUAAGAGAUUAGCCUGUAUUGUAUCAGUUAGUUGGUGGGGUAAUGGCUUACCAAGACUAUGACACAUAACUGGUUUGAGAGGAUGAUCAGUCACACUGGAACUGAGACACGGUCCAGACUCCUACGGGAGGCAGUAGUGGGGAAUAUUGCACAAUGGACGAAAGUCUGAUGCAGCAACGCCGCGUGGAGGAUGACACAUUUCGGUGCGUAAACUCCUUUUAUAUGAGAAGAUAAUGACGGUAUUAUAUGAAUAAGCACCGGCUAACUCCGUGCCAGCCGCCGCAGUAA
rnacentral:rRNA from 1 species